rnacentral:rRNA from 1 species
CAAAGAGGCCACACCCGUUCCCAUCUCGAACACGGAAGUUAAGCUCUUUUGCGCCGAUGGUAGUUGGGGGUUUCCCCCUGUGAGAGUAGGACGUCGCUAGGC